GUCAGGCCAGUCGACCUUUUGUCCAGGUGCACGUGAUGGCGUUCCCACAAGGCCAGCCUCUGCCGCCGAGGACAGCAGUGUCGUUGUUCGCUGGCCCUUUCGCAGUCCGGGGCCUGUGAGGGCAGAACCGGCCGGCCUUGGCCUUAGGGGGCAGCGGGGUUGGCGCGUCAGGCCACCGGGCCUGCCAGGCCCUUUCUUCACGAGUCUCCCCGAAACCGUGCACGGGCGUGAGAGACGCUGGGCUCCUGUCUUAGCUGGACCGCAGUCGGGCUCUCCUGACACGUCUGGACGAGGAAGCUGCCGCAGGGUCCUCCCAGCCCACGCCCCCCGUCGCCCAGCCCUGGCGUUUGCCUCAUCCCCCUCACUCGGGGAGAAUGCGGUCAGGGCACUGGAGGGGGAAGCCUGCUUCUGAGCAGUCAACAGAAAAUGAGGAAGCACGGGGAGGAACCUCUAGAGCGGACCAGGGGUAAGGCCUCGGCAGCCGGUCGAGCCCGCGUCCCCGGGACCGCAGCGAAGGAGGCUACGAGGGUCCUCGCUUCGCUCGCCGCCCGCGUUCCCGCCUCAGGGCCGCCUCGCCCCACCCUCGCCGCGCUCCUCGCCGAGCCCCGCCCC
rnacentral:lncRNA from 1 species